AUCCUUUUGUAGUUCAUAAAUGUGAUGACUGGGUUUUCACACUCAUGUGAGAUGUGCUUCCCUCAAACCUUGUUACGAUGUCGUAAUAAGAAG
ensembl:snoRNA